rnacentral:rRNA from 1 species
AGCGAACGCUGGCGGCAGGCCUAACACAUGCAAGUCGAACGGACCCUUCGGGGUUAGUGGCGGACGGGUGAGUAACACGUGGGAACGUGCCUUUAGGUUCGGAAUAGCUCCUGGAAACGGGUGGUAAUGCCGAAUGUGCCCUUCGGGGGAAAGAUUUAUCGCCUUUAGAGCGGCCCGCGUCUGAUUGGCUAGUUGGUGAGGGAAUGGCUCACUCAGGCGACGAUCAGUAGCUGGGCUGAGAGGAUGACCAGCCACAUUUGGACUGGGACACGGCCCAAACUCCUACGGGAGGCAGCAGUGGAGAAUCUUGCGCAAUGGGCGAAAGCCUGACGCAGCCAUGCCGCGUGGGUGAUGAAGGUCUUAGGAUUGUAAAUUCCUUUCACCGGUGAAGAUAAUGACUGUAGCCGGAGAAGAAGCCCCGGCUAACUUCGUGCCAGCCGCCGCCGUAACAC